ACUGGCAGGCUAGAGUCUUGUAGAGGGGGGUAGAAUUCCAGGUGUAGCGGUGAAAUGCGUAGAGAUCUGGAGGAAUACCGGUGGCGAAGGCGGCCCCCUGGACAAAGACUGACGCUCAGGUGCGAAAGCGUGGGGAGCAAACAGGAUUAGAUACCCUGGUAGUCCACGCCGUAAACGAUGUCGAUUUGGAGGUUGUGCCCUUGAGGCGUGGCUUCCGGAGCUAACGCGUUAAAUCGACCGCCUGGGGAGUACGGCCGCAAGGUUAAAACUCAAAUGAAUUGACGGGGGCCCGCACAAGCGGUGGAGCAUGUGGUUUAAUUCGAUGCAACGCGAAGAACCUUACCUGGUCUUGACAUCCACAGAACUUUCCAGAGAUG
rnacentral:rRNA from 2 species